rnacentral:rRNA from 1 species
GACGAACGCUGGCGGCGUGCUUAACACAUGCAAGUCGAACGGAAAGGCCCUGCUUUUGUGGGGUGCUCGAGUGGCGAACGGGUGAGUAACACGUGAGUAACCUGCCCUUGACUUUGGGAUAACUUCAGGAAACUGGGGCUAAUACCGGAUAGGAGCUCCUGCUGCAUGGUGGGGGUUGGAAAGUUUCGGCGGUUGGGGAUGGACUCGCGGCUUAUCAGCUUGUUGGUGGGGUAGUGGCUUACCAAGGCUUUGACGGGUAGCCGGCCUGAGAGGGUGACCGGCCACAGUGGGACUGAGAUACGGCCCAGAAGCCUACGGGAGGCAGCAGUGGGGAAUAUUGCACAGUGGGCGGGAGCCUGAUGCAGCAACGCCGCGUGCGGGAUGAAGGCCUUCGGGUUGUAAACCGCUUUCGCCUGUGACGAAGCGUGAGUGACGGUAAUGGGUAAAGAAGCACCGGCUAACUACGUG